UUGAACGCUGGCGGCAUGCUUUACACAUGCAAGUCGAACGGCAGCGCGGGGCAACCUGGCGGCGAGUGGCGAACGGGUGAGUAAUACAUCGGAACGUACCCAGAAGUGGGGGAUAACGUAGCGAAAGUUACGCUAAUACCGCAUACGUUCUACGGAAGAAAGUGGGGGAUCUUCGGACCUCAUGCUUUUGGAGCGGCCGAUGUCUGAUUAGCUAGUUGGUGAGGUAAAGGCUCACCAAGGCGACGAUCAGUAGCUGGUCUGAGAGGACGACCAGCCACACUGGGACUGAGACACGGCCCCAGACUCCUACGGGAGGCAGCAGUGGGGAAUUUUGGACAAUGGCGCAAGCCUGAUCCAGCAAUGCCGCGUGAGUGAAGAAGGCCUUCGGGUUGUAAAGCUCUUUUGUCAGGGAAGAAACGGCUUUGGUUAAUACCUGGGGCUAAUGACGGUACCUGAAGAAUAAGCACCGGCUUAACUACGUGCCAGCAGCCGCGGUAAUACGUAGGGUGCAAGCGUUAAUCGGAAUUACUGGGCGUAAAGCGUGCGCAGGCGGUUAUGUAAGUGACAGUUGAAAUCCCCGGGCUAACCUGGGAACUUGCAGUCUGGAGACUGCAAUGGCUGGAGUGCGGCAGAGGGGGGAUAGAAUUCCAGCGUGUAGCAGUGAAAUGCGUAGAGAUGCGGAGGAACACCGAUGGCGAAGGCAAGCCCCCUGGGUCACUGCACUGACGCUCAUGCACGAAAGCGUGGGGAGCAAACAGGAUUAGAUACCCUGGUAGUCCACGCCCUAAACGAUGUCUACUAGUUGUUGGGUAAUUCGACUUUCGGUAACGAAGCUAACGCGUGAAGUUAGACCGCCUGGGGAGUACGGUCCGCAAGAUUGAAAACUCAAAGGAAUUGACGGGGACCCGCACAAGCGGUGGAUGAUGUGGAUUAAUUCGAUGCAACGCGAAAAACCUUACCCUACCUUGACAUGUACGGAACCUUGCCGAGAUGGCUUGAGGGUGCUCGAAAGGAGACCGUAACACAGGUGCUGCAUGGCUGUCGUCAGCUCGUGUCGUGAGAUGUUGGGUUAAGUCCCGCAACGAGCGCAACCCUUGUCAUUAGUUGCUACGAUUAAGUUGGCACUCUAAUGAGACUGCCGGUGACAAGCCGGAGGAAGGUGGGGAUGACGUCAAGUCCUCAUGGCCCUUAUAGGGUAGGGCUUACACACGUCAUACAAUGGCUGGUACAUAAGAGGUGCGCCAACCCGCGAGGGGGAGCUAAUCCCAGAAAGCCUGUAUCGUAGUCCGGAUCGCAGUCUGCAACUCGACUGCGUGAAGUCGGAAUCGCUAGUAAUCGCGGAUCAGAAUGUCAGCGGUGAAUACGUUCCCGGGUCUUGUACACACCGCCCGUCACACCAUGGGAGCGGGUUCUUACCAGAAGUAGUUAGCCUAACCGCAAGGAGGGCGAUUACCACGGCAGGAUUCGUGACUGGGGUG
rnacentral:rRNA from 1 species